rnacentral:rRNA from 1 species
UACGAAGGGGGCUAGCGUUGCUCGGAAUCACUGGGCGUAAAGGGUGCGUAGGCGGGUCUUUAAGUCAGGGGUGAAAUCCUGGAGCUCAACUCCAGAACUGCCUUUGAUACUGAGAGUCUUGAGUAUGACAGAGGUGAGUGGAACUGCGAGUGUAGAGGUGAAAUUCGUAGAUAUUCGCAAGAACACCAGUGGCGAAGGCGGCUCACUGGGUCAUUACUGACGCUGAGGCACGAAAGCGUGGGGAGCAAACAGG